CAGACCACAGAGCCAAGAACACAUCGGACACCAGCACACCUGUGUCCAUCCAGUCAGACUCUCCAGGUGUGUUGAUCUUCUACACUCUGGAUGGAUCGAGGCCGGUGGAGGUGCAGCGGGGCUCAGCCAGCAGCAGCAGGAAGUACAACCAGCCAAUCCUGCUGCCCGCUGGUCGAGUGUCUGUCAGAGCGGUGGCUGUCACCAGUGAUGGCAGAGAGAGCUCCGCUGUGACAAAGGUUUUCACGGUUGAACUUGUGGAUUCAAACAAGGACGAGAACGAGGAGAACUUCCUGCAGAGCGACCAGCAGGUAAUCAGAUUACAUCAAAU